CACGUAGGGGGCGAGCGUUGUCCGGAAUCAUUGGGCGUAAAGAGCUCGUAGGCGGCUCGGUAAGUCGGGUGUGAAACCCCCAGGCUCAACCUGGGGACGCCACCCGAUACUGCUGUGGCUAGAGUCCAGUAGGGGAGUGUGGAAUUCCCGGUGUAGCGGUGAGAUGCGCAGAUAUCAGGAGGAACACCAGCGGCGAAGGCGGCGCUCUGGGCCGGAACUGACGCUGAGGAGCGAAAGCGUGGGGAGCAAACAGG
rnacentral:rRNA from 1 species